AUUGGGUUUAAAGGGAGCGUAGGUGGAUUGUUAAGUCAGUUGUGAAAGUUUGCGGCUCAACCCCGUCCGGCCGUUGAAACUGGGGGCCUUGAGUGGGCGAGAAGAAGGCGGAAUGCGUGGUGUAGCGGUGAAAUGCAUAGAUAUCACGCAGAACCCCGAUUGCGAAGGCAGCCUUCCGGCGCCCUACUGACGCUGAGGCACGAAAGUGCGGGGAUCGAACAGG
rnacentral:rRNA from 1 species